UGGUGAGUUUUCUGGUAGGUUCUAAAUGAUUUUUUUUUUGGGAUAAUGGUUUUGAGGUGUGUGGCAAAAGUGGUAAGUUUAAAUCCAUUAAGAAUUUUAUGUUCUUACCUUCCAAUAUAGUCUCAUCUUAAAGAUAAGAUUGAGUCAAGUAGAAUUUUUCUUCAACAAAUGUAAUGUCCACAUACGCAUAAAAUUUUUUGGUCAGUAGAUAUGUACCCCUUUUGAGAGAAACUACCCUACGAAUACAUAUUUCAAGAUCUGAUGAUCAAAUUUUCCUCUUUCAUGAGAAUGAAUAUGAAUAAAAGCAACACACCUAAAUAUUCAAGAGACCAGAUGAUCUGUGAUGUUUACUGCUGGAUAAAAUUGUUGUAUUGUAAGAUAACUUUUAAAGUCAAGAACAGUUAU
rnacentral:lncRNA from 1 species